rnacentral:rRNA from 1 species
CCUACGGGAGGCAGCAGUGAGGAAUAUUGGUCAAUGGGCUUACGCCUGAACCAGCCAAGUCGCGUGAUGGAAGACUGCCCUAUGGGUUGUAAACCUCUUUUGUCAGGGAGCAAUUGGCGCUACGUGUAGCGUUAUCGAGAGUACCUGAAGAAAAAGCAUCGGCUAACUCCGUGCCAGCAGCCGCGGUAAUACGGGGGAUGCAAGCGUUAUCCGGAUUGAUUGGGUUUAAAGGGUGCGUAGGCUGUGAGGUAAGUCAGCGGUGAAAUGCCCCCGCUCAACGGGGUGAAGUGCCAUUGAUACUGGCUGGCUGGAAUGCGGAUGACGUGGGAGGAAUGUGAGGUGUAGCGGUGAAAUGCAUAGAGAUCACACAGAACACCGAUUGCGAAGGCAGCCCACGAAUCAGCGAUUGACGCUGAGGCACGAAAGCGUGGGUAUCGAACAGGAUUAGAUACCCGUGUAGUC